UCUGUUUCAGGGGAGCCCCCUCUGAGGUCUUUGAGAUUCCAGCCAGCAUUGGAAGUGACAGCCCAGAUAAGGCAGGAGAAUGUUUUACACUGGCUGCCUGUGCUGAUUGCUGCUGCUGCUCUCUUUUGCCACAAGCGAGGGCCAAAAACAUCUUUUUGUGUGGUAGAGCCAGGAGCAACCUUCAAUGUCUCUCUUGGACAAGUGCUUUCACCACUUCAUGCUUCAAUCCCAGAGUCAAGUGAGUGCAUGGAAUUGUGUCUCCACAAUACCCCAAAAAAGUCUUUUCCUCCUUCUCCAGCAUCUGUAGAUACAGUUGAGAUAGUGUUCCCUUGC
rnacentral:lncRNA from 1 species